UACGGAGGGUGCGAGCGUUGUCCGGAAUCACUGGGCGUAAAGGGCGCGUAGGCGGCCUGAUAAGUAGGGUGUGAAAUCCUGCGGCUUAACCGCAGGGCUGCCUUCUAAACUGUCAGGCUCGAGCACAGUAGAGGCAGGUGGAAUUCCCGGUGUAGCGGUGGAAUGCGUAGAGAUCGGGAAGAACAUCAGUGGCGAAGGCGGCCUGCUGGGCUGUUGCUGACGCUGAGGCGCGACAGCGUGGGGAGCAAACAGG
rnacentral:rRNA from 1 species